GCUUACACAUGCAGUCGAACGGAGCGCGGGGCACUGGCGGCGAGUGGCGAACGGGUGAGUAAUAUAUCGGAACGUGCCCUGGAGUGGGGGAUAACGCAGCGAAAGUUGCGCUAAUACCGCAUACGAUCUAAGGAUGAAAGCGGGGGAUUCGCAAGAACCCCGUGCUCCUGGAGCGGCCGAUAUCUGAUUAGCUAGUUGGUGGGGUAAAGGCCUACCAAGGCAUCGAUCAGUAGCUGGUCUGAGAGGACGACCAGCCACACUGGAACUGAGACACGGUCCAGACUCCUACGGGAGGCAGCAGUGGGGAAUUUUGGACAAUGGGCGAAAGCCUGAUCCAGCAAUGCCGCGUGAGUGAAGAAGGCCUUCGGGUUGUAAAGCUCUUUUGUCAGGGAAGAAACGGUAUGGGCUAAUAUCCCGUACUAAUGACGGUACCUGAAGAAUAAGCACCGGCUAACUACGUGCCAGCAGCCGCGGUAAUACGUAGGUGCAAGCGUUAAUCGGAAUUACUGGGCGUAAAGCGUGCGCAGGCGGUUUUGUAAGUUUGUCGUGAAAGGCCCCGGGGCUCAACCUGGGAAUUGCGAUGAAACUGCAAGGCUUGAAUCUGGCAAGGGGGGUAAAUUCCACGUGUAGCAGUGAAAUGCGU
rnacentral:rRNA from 1 species